rnacentral:rRNA from 1 species
ACGUAGGAGGCGAACGUUAUCCGGAUUUACUGGGCGUAAAGCGCGUGUAGGUGGUUCUGUAAGUAGGGCGUGAAAGCUCCUGGCUCAACUGGGAGAGGCCGUUCGAAACUACAGAACUAGAGGAUGGUAGAGGAAGGUGGAAUUCCAGGUGUAGCGGUGGAAUGCGCAGAUAUCUGGAGGAACACCAGUGGCGAAGGCGGCCUCCUGGACUAUUCCUGACACUCAGACGCGAAAGCUAGGGUAGCGAACGG